CGGAAAUCACGUCCCCGCGGCUGUUACUGACACUUCAAGAACGGAGCAGCCGCAGCCCGCAGCGUGAGAAAGAGGAUCAGAAUGCGCUGACAUAGUGAGGAGCCAUCUGGGCGUCAAGUUCUGCUGAGUGAACAUUUAGCUGGAACAAGUCCAGGCGAAUGCACCUGUAGAGGUGAAUAAAUCAGGGACCUGAUGAAGCACUGUGUGUGCGAUACGGACCGUCGCCCAACCCUCUCCCCCACCCACCUUGUUCCGUCCACUCUCCCUUGCAUGUUUGUAUGCCGCCAAGCUACAUGAAAUAAAAGAAGCUUGAUGACCCCGAGUGACCUGGCAAUGCCGGAAGCAGAUCCUGUGGGCACUACAGUAUUGCCAUGUCAGGCCUUAAUGAUGGAUACAUUUUUCAAAUGUAGCGGCCACACUCAUUAGGGGUUCGUUGGCCCCCAGUACCAAGAAGUCUUACGAGUCAGUUUUCAACAUUGCUACAACAUAAUAUUCCUUUCUCUUUUGACACACACAUUAUCCGGUCAUUUAAUGGUUUUUUACAACUUCAUCUCUCUCAUUAUACCAUAAAGUCAUAUCUAGCUUCCCAUCUCAGAAUGAAUGGUGUUCAGUUGCUGUUUUGUCGGAUUUGUUAAGUGCAUUGAGUCAGGGGAACAGCCCCCUUUUGCCAUUUGUUUCAGCAGCCCUCACUACAUCACAGUUUGUGAGCCAUGUUCUUAUUCUAUUUAGGUAUCUGGGCCUUGCUCCGAGUGUUUAUUCAGGGCACUCUUUUCGCAUUGGAACAGCUUCUGCAGCCUCCAUUCAUAAGUUACCGCCUCAUAUAAUAAAGAAAUUAGACAGAUUGAGGUCUGGUUGCUAUGCUACUUACAAACCUUAUUGUUGUAUUGAAAUGGCUGAUGUUAUUAAGUAUUUUGUGUUCGGAUUAAAUAAAAAUUUUCUGUUGCAUAUUUACAUGAUGUUAUU